CAUUUCUCAGGAAGCCCUGAACACUACAAUAGAGCAGAGGAGGAAAUAAAGGCGAUUUCAUACAACCAUCAGAGCACAAAAUAUUUUACACGCAAAUGUACAACAGUAUAACACCAAUGCAAAACUUACUCUAAACAACCAUUGUAGCAUUUCCAAGCUUAUUGAAAUUGAUGGUUGACUCAGGUAAGCCUACACAAACGAAAACAACUUUGGAAUUAAUACUUUUGGUAUUCAAAACUCGGGUAUCUAAUAUAUUUUCCAUUUUCCACAUGAAUAUCUUAGUAGGAUAAACCUCCCAUUAAUUGUUGAGGCUGAUCUUGAAGCUAUCAUAUAGAUCACCUAUAUAACAACAAUCUG
rnacentral:lncRNA from 1 species